AUCCAAUUGACGUGUCGCAAAUAGGACGAAACGUGCGUCCUGGAU
rnacentral:hammerhead_ribozyme from 1 species